UUAACCAGUGCAUUAUCUCUUCCACAAUAAGGAAAGGGCUCUUGAGGCAAGGUAAAGUUGGAUGGAAUGCUCUGCCGUGUUCCUUACUGCCUGACCUAAAUACUAGAACAGGGUGAACUGUAGUAGUGAGGUUCCCUUUCUUUACAUAUUCACUUUAAACUGGAAAUCUCACAAUACCAAAGCUUUCUAACACAGACCUGAUUGAUACAGUGAGAACAGUCUCUUGCAAGACUUCUGCGCUUGGCUAAAACCAAAAGGCACAGAGAAAUGAAUAAGCACAGAGAAAUAUUCCAGUAAUAUGAGUUGUGUUACAAGGCUUUCCACUGAUGGUUUGUGGUGCGCUUCUAAAAGGAGAUAUUGUACUGGUGAUCCAAGCCACGUUUGCAGUAAUGCUUAAACUAGCAUAUGAGUUUUAAUUGGGAAGAACUGCUGAAGCACUAAGCGAUGUCUGCUUGUUUCUACCCAAGAGACUGAAGUUCUGAUAUUAUAGUGAUGGAGAUGGUGUAAACAGCUGGAUAAAGGCCAUCACUUCCCUACACUGAAUUUGGAUUUUCUGGAUAACCUGGUGACACUCCAUUUAUCAAAUCCAAAUGGCUUAGA